AACGUCAGCACGCUUCGACCGAUCGAAGUUUCGAGAUUUCCUCCCAAGUGAGAGUUCCGCGCGGUGCCAUUCGCUCUCGAGCAGCGCCAGGUGUACGGCGUGCUUUGUAACCGCGAAACUCGGAUCGUCUGUCCCGUGCAAUUUGAUCGGUAAUUUUUUCACCGCGAAACAAUCGAACGACGUCACGCGAGCAAAUAGCCUAAUCGCGUUUUUUAGUGCAGUGUGUGGUGAUUAUAUCGUCAACGACCAUAUCACGUCUAUUUUCAAACUACUUCACGCCGGUAGACCUGCUGAUUAGGCAUGUCAUGUCUCUCAAUCACUGUCGACUGUUGCAUCGAAUUUGGUUUCUGCAAGGUUAUUUGCUGUUUACGUGGCCGGAAUGUUCGUUGUUUAUUUGACGGGUGACAAAUUUCUUACACAUAACAGGUCCGUAAACUAAAAUCAAUCGAGUGCUUUGUUCGGUGAUUGUUAUCGCAGUGAAGUGGGGUGCAAUAUUGUGAACUUAACAUGGAUUCCAUGCUCAUACCUGAACGACCAGAGGAUACAUCUCCGGCUACCCAAAAGUGUUCGUGAACGCCCUGUUUCCUCCUGUAUGCACGGGAUGUCCGAUGCGUUUCUGUGAUAACGAUCCGGCGAUAAAUCUUGGAUACUGUUGCGGGUGUCGACGAACAUACGACAUUCUGCCUGUGCUCUGUAUUCCGGCC
rnacentral:lncRNA from 1 species